UACGAAGGGGGCUAGCGUUGUUCGGAUUUACUGGGCGUAAAGGGCGCGUAGGCGGGCUGAUCAGUCAGGGGUGAAAGCCCAAGGCUCAACCUUGGAACUGCCUUUGAUACUGUCGGUCUUGAGUUCGAGAGAGGUAAGUGGAACUGCGAGUGUAGAGGUGAAAUUCGUAGAUAUUCGCAAGAACCCCAGUGGCGAAGGCGGCUUACUGGCUCGAAACUGACGCUGAGGCGCGAAAGCGUGGGGAGCAAACAGG
rnacentral:rRNA from 1 species